rnacentral:rRNA from 1 species
UACGUAGGUGGCAAGCGUUGUCCGGAAUUAUUGGGCGUAAAGCGCGCGCAGGCGGUCCUUUAAGUCUGAUGUGAAAGCCCACGGCUCAACCGUGGAGGGUCAUUGGAAACUGGAGGACUUGAGUACAGAAGAGGAAAGCGGAAUUCCACGUGUAGCGGUGAAAUGCGUAGAGAUGUGGAGGAACACCAGUGGCGAAGGCGGCUUUCUGGUCUGUAGCUGACGCUGAGGCGCGAAAGCGUGGGGAGCAAACAGG